AUGGAAGCCACGCGGGAGGAGCCGAGGAUGGUGACGCUGCGGCCAGUGGAGGCCACGCCGGAGUCCUUCGCGCGCUUCGGGCAGGUCAUCGCCGCCUCCCCCGACGGCGACCAGUUCGGCCCCCACGACGCCCAGCUCGACCUCAGCCGCGGCAUCCCUAGGUUCUACAUCAUGAGAUUGGAGAGCAGGCCGCUCAGGUUCUCGACCAUCACCCACCACGCCAGCGUCACGCAGUGCCUGGGCUCCAUCGGCGGCCAGGACUGGUACCUCGGCGUGGCAAAGCCUUCCGUCGUGGACGAGCACAGUGGCCAGGAUGGUGGCAGGACUCCCGUGCAGUCGCCCGCCGGGCACUACUAUCUGCCUCCGGAUCCGUCCGAGGUCCGCGUCUUCCGGGUCCCCGGUCCCAAGUUCCUCAAGCUGCACGCCGGGACCUGGCACGCCGGGCCGCUGUUCAAGGGAGACACCCUGGAUUUCUAUAACCUGGAGCUGAGCAACACCAAUUCAACUCGCUGGGAAUUCGGAAUUGGAGCACAACAUUAA
rnacentral:rRNA from 1 species